UACAGAGGAGCCAAGCGUUGUCCGGAUUGACUGGGCGUAAAGCGCACGCAGGCGGACGCGCGCGUGGGGUGUGAAAUCUGGCCGCUUAACGGCCAGGCGCCAUCCCAUACGGCGGGUCUGGAGUGAUGCAGAGGGCGGUGGAAUUGCCGGUGUAGUGGUGAAAUGCGUAGAGAUCGGCAGGAACACCCAGGGGGAAACCAGCCGCCUGGGCAUCGACUGACGCUGAGGUGCGAGAGCGUGGGGAGCGAACAGG
rnacentral:rRNA from 1 species